rnacentral:lncRNA from 1 species
GAGAGAGAGAGAGAGAGAAGACUCAAUUUGCAACAGUAGCACUAACAUUCGAGGGAAUGGAUGGAAUAAUGACUUCAAUUGUCUAUAACUACAAAUUGAGAGUGAGAAGACUCAAUUUGCGACAAUGGGGCUAGAAACAUUCAAGGGAAUGGAUGGAACAAUGACUUCAAUUAUGAACAAUUGCAAACUGAGAGAGAGAAGACUUAAUGUGUGACAAUAGGUCUAAAAAUAUUUAAGGGAAGGGAUGGAACAAUGACAUGUAAAAUUACAAACUGAGAGAGAGAAGACUCAACUUGCGCCAAUAGAGCUAAUAUUCAAGGGAAUGGUUGGAACAAUGACUUCAAUUAUCUCAAAUUACAAACUGAGGAUUUGACGAUGUAAAUCGUAUGAGGAUGUUGUGGUUGACCAAGUUAAUAGCAGGGAGGUGGGCAGACUAGUGAAGAUGGCUAGAUUGAUGUUAAAUGACAUGGAAUGACAAUUUGACAGGGCAUCCAAAUUAUGUCAUAGAUCUGAAUUCUGGCAUUCCGAACAGGGCAAAGCAAUGGACAUCCCCUAUGAGAGGUGAUGGACUUUUAAAACAAACAACAUUGGAUGAAAGCAAGCCAAGAAUGAAAUUGAACACAAUUAGGAGGUUAGUUGAGCAUCAAGAAUCAAGACUGAUGCAUGUUUGGAGAUGGCAAUCAUAGCGACUGAAGCGAAUGUAAGUGUAAAAAAUUUAUCAACUCUUGAUUUUCAUGGACUAUGGGAUGUUGAUGAUAGAAUUUGUAGAUGCAUACAAUCAAACCUGCAAAGUGGGGUCAAGCCAACCUAUGAUGAAGCAAAAUCAUGUAUAAAAAUUGAAGCAAUAACUAGAGGCUUCUUGAUAUAGCUUAAAGGCCAAGAUAACAAGUUGGCAGAUUCCCAAAAGUUUCAUCAAGUGACAUGUCAAAGUAGCCCAAGUUGAAAUAAAUGGGUAUAAAUGGUUGAUGAUGCUACGUAUAAUGAAAUCUUAGAGGAUGGUUGAUUGCACUCAUGAUGUCAUGAGUUGCAGGCAAAUGGAAAUGAAUUAAGCAAGGAAACUUAAAAAAUAGAAUGGCAAAGUUUUGUAUGGGGCAGAUAGAGUGCCUAAAAAUUGAUUGAAGAAUGAGACGAGACACGGAAUACAAAGAUAGAACAAAACCCAAGGGUACCUUUGACCAAAAGGAAAAGGUUCAUGUUACCUGUAUACUAGCAAGUCACGUGUGGGCUAGAAGGCAUAGUAGUUGACAUAGUUGGAAGGAAUAAUAAUAGCCCAAACUCCAAAGGAUAGCAAAUGGUUGGUCCAAAAGAGAUUUUGGCGCCAAAUGAACCAACAACGUAAGAAAAUUAAGUGGUUGAUCUGAUCUUACAACAUAAGAGGGCAGUAACUGCUUAUAAUGGGUAACCAUGGUGUAAUUCUAGUAUGUCAAAAAGCAGAUCCUGUAGAUAGAAAACAAGAGGUGCUGAAACUAGCAAAACAAAUUCUAAGAAAUUUAUGAGGCUUGAUAAGCAUGGACAAGAUGUAAGGUGUAUAGAGGGUGAUUACUAUUCAUAAACAAUGAGUGUAUCUCAUGAACAGUAAAUAUGGUUGCAAACCACUUUAAAAUAGCAGCAUAGCUCAAUGGAAGCUCAAAAUGGAUUAAUUCUUGAUUAAGCAGGAGCAAAUAAGUUGGCAUAAAAAAUGAAAAAAAAAAA